rnacentral:rRNA from 1 species
GGGAUUAGUGGCGAACGGGUGAGUAACACGUGGGCAAUCUGCCCUUCACUCUGGGACAAGCCCUGGAAACGGGGUCUAAUACCGGAUACGACCUGCCGAGGCAUCUCGGUGGGUGGAAAGCUCCGGCGGUGAAGGAUGAGCCCGCGGCCUAUCAGCUUGUUGGUGAGGUAACGGCUCACCAAGGCGACGACGGGUAGCCGGCCUGAGAGGGCGACCGGCCACACUGGGACUGAGACACGGCCCAGACUCCUACGGGAGGCAGCAGUGGGGAAUAUUGCACAAUGGGCGAAAGCCUGAUGCAGCGACGCCGCGUGAGGGAUGACGGCCUUCGGGUUGUAAACCUCUUUCAGCAGGGAAGAAGCGAAAGUGACGGUACCUGCAGAAGAAGCGCCGGCUAACUACGUGCCAGCAGCCGCGGUAAUACGUAGGGCGCAAGCGUUGUCCGGAAUUAUUGGGCGUAAAGAGCUCGUAGGCGGCUUGUCACGUCGGUUGUGAAAGCCCGGGGCUUAACCCCGGGUCUGCAGUCGAUACGGGCAGGCUAGAGUUCGGUAGGGGAGAUCGGAAUUCCUGGUGUAGCGGUGAAAUGCGCAGAUAUCAGGAGGAACACCGGUGGCGAAGGCGGAUCUCUGGGCCGAUACUGACGCUGAGGAGCGAAAGCGUGGGGAGCGAACAGGAUUAGAUACCCUGGUAGUCCACGCCGUAAACGGUGGGCACUAGGUGUGGGCAACAUUC